AGAACAUAAGUAAACAUAGUACUUACUUCAAUACCCUCAUAACCACACUCUCCCGCGAACCCAAACGACUAUUUCACACAUUUAACUCUCUACUUCGCCCUAUUGUUCCUCCUCCAACUACUAACUUGACCGCCUCAGACUUUGCAGCUCACUUCACUGACAAGAUCUCUACAAUCAGGGAAGAGAUCUCUCAUCUUUCUUCUUCCCCUUUCAAUACUUCCCCACUCCCUCUGCUGUUCUAUGUUCAUUCGCACCUGCUACAGUGGAAGAGGUUUCUGCUCUGCUCCAGUCCUCCCACCCCACCACCUGCUCCCUAGAUCCAAUUUCCUUGCAUCUUAUCCGUACUAUGUCUUCUUCUCUUUCUCCACCUCUCACUAAAAUUCUCAUUCUCUCUCUCUCUCCUAUGGCAUAUUUUCAUCACCCUUCAAACAUGCAACUGUAACCCCAAUUCUAAAGAAACCCAACCCUGCCCCUAACUCCCCAUCCAACUACCGUCCUAUCUCGCUAUUGCCUUUUGCAUCCAAGAUCCUUGAAAGAGUUGUGUAUGAAAGAUUGGCAGACUUCCUUGAGUUUAACUCUCUGCAAGACCCACUUCAGUUUGGUUUCCGAGCUAAGCACUCUGUG